GUUCAGCAAACAUUUACUGCCAAGCACUAGGGAAACAAAUAAUAAGACACAGUUCUUUUAUACCGGCAUAGAAAACAGAUAGAAUACUAUGUAUAAUGUUGGGUUACUUGCUAUUUCACCUAUGUGCUUUUCUCUCUAACAGGGCAAUAAGUAUGGUCUGUGACCAUACUGGGCUCUUUGAUGAGCACAUCUAGCAUUCGAUAACUAUUUUUGAUUGAUUUAUAGGCCACGCAGAACGUGAAGGUCAAUGCCUAAUCUACUUACCCGUUCUCUUUUGGCCAUAUCAGCAGCACUCACACCCUCUGCAGCCUUCGUCCCAGCACGAAUCACUGCAGAAAGAGGGAAAAAGGCCAAGACAUCAACAAGGGAAUUUUCACUGAGCAACAAGAGGAAUGUGAUUUGAAUGAUGCAAACUCUUUGUACAGGGCCCAGAGGACUAUGUUGGCCAGGACACGGUGGCAUUUGGUUAGGUCCAGAAAUAGGCUACAGGGCUAAGUUCUGGGCUCAGAGCUGCUCUCAAGGACUAAAACUCUAAACAUUUUGUGAUUUUAUUCCUCUUCUCCUUCUCUCCCCUCAAAGAAUCUUCACGUACAUGCCCUGUGAAGCUAUGGAGGAGGUGAGC
rnacentral:lncRNA from 1 species